AGCAGCCGCGGUAAUUCCAGCUCCAAUAGCGUAUAUUAAAGUUGUUGCAGUUAAAAAGCUCGUAGUUGAAUUUCGGGGUCAGCAGGUUGGUCGUGCCACUGGUAUGCACUGGCCUUGCUGAUUCCUCCCUCUUGAUGAACCGUAAUGCCAUUAAUUUGGUGUUGCGGGGAAUCAGGACUGUUACUUUGAAAAAAUUAGAGUGUUUAAAGCAGGCAAGCGCUUGAAUACAUUAGCAUGGAAUAAUGAAAUAGGACGUUUGAUCCUAUUUUGUUGGUUUCUAGGAUUGACGUAAUGAUUAAUAGGGAUAGUUGGGGGCAUUAGUAUUCAAUUGUCAGAGGUGAAAUUCUUGGAUUUAUUGAAGACUAACUACUGCGAAAGCAUUUGCCAAGGAUGUUUUCAUUAAUCAAGAACGAAAGUUAGGGGAUCGAAGACGAUCAGAUACCGUCGUAG
rnacentral:rRNA from 1 species